rnacentral:rRNA from 1 species
GAUGAACGCUGGCGGUAUGCUUAACACAUGCAAGUCGAACGGUCACUUCGGUGAUAGUGGCGGACGGGUGAGUAACGCGUGAGAAUCUGUCUUCAGGUCGGGGACAACAGUUAGAAAUGACUGCUAAUACCGGAUGUGCCUUUGGGUGAAAGAUUUAUUGCCUGAAAAAGAGCUCGCGUCAGAUUAGCUAGUAGGUGGUGUAAGAGACUACCUAGGCUCCGAUCUGUAGCUGGUCUGAGAGGACGAUCAGCCACACUGGAACUGAGACACGGUCCAGACUCCUACGGGAGGCAGCAGUGGGGAAUUUUCCGCAAUGGGGGAAAGCCUGACGGAGCAAUACCGCGUGAGGGACGAAGGCUUUUGGGUAGUAAACCUCUUUUCUCAAGGAAGAUGAUGACGGUACUUGAGGAAUAAGCAUCGGCUAACUCUGUG